rnacentral:rRNA from 1 species
UACAGAGGUCCCAAGCGUUGUUCGGAUUCACUGGGCGUAAAGGGUGCGUAGGUGGUGGGGUAAGUUUGAUGUGAAAGCUCCGAGCUUAACUCGGAAAUGGCAUUGAAUACUAUCUCGCUUGAGGUUUGGAGGGGGGACUGGAAUUCUCGGUGUAGCAGUGAAAUGCGUAGAUAUCGAGAGGAACACCAGUGGCGAAGGCGAGUCCCUGGACAACACCUGACACUGAGGCACGAAAGCUAGGGGAGCAAACGGG